GGCUUCGUAACUAAGCUGGUAUAGCGCUUGCCGCAUUGAGACAUGAGGUUUCUGUCGCUGAUUCGAAUCCAGCCGAAGCCC
rnacentral:tRNA from 1 species